rnacentral:rRNA from 1 species
UACGUAGGGGGCAAGCGUUGUCCGGAAUUAUUGGGCGUAAAGAGCGCGUAGGCGGACUCUUAAGUCGGGGGUGAAAUCCUGGAGCUCAACUCCAGAACUGCCUUCGAUACUGGGAGCCUUCGAGUUCGGGAGAGGUGAGUGGAACUGCGAGUGUAGAGGUGAAAUUCGUAGAUAUUCGCAAGAACACCAGUGGCGAAGGCGGCUCACUGGCCCGAGUACUGACGCUGAGGUGCGAAAGCGUGGGGAGCGAACAGG